rnacentral:rRNA from 1 species
GGAGGGUGCGAGCGUUAAUCGGAAUUACUGGGCGUAAAGCGUACGCAGGCGGUUUGUUAAGCGAGAUGUGAAAGCCCCGGGCUCAACCUGGGAACUGCAUUUCGAACUGGCAAACUAGAGUGUGAUAGAGGGUGGUAGAAUUUCAGGUGUAGCGGUGAAAUGCGUACAGAUCUGAAGGAAUACCGAUGGCGAAGGCAGCCACCUGGGUCAACACUGACGCUCAUGUACGAAAGCGUGGGGAGCAAACAGGAUUAGAUACCCUGGUAGUCCACGCCGUAAACGAUGUCUACUAGAAGCUCGGAGCCUCGGCUCUGUUUUUCAAAGCUAACGCAUUAAGUNUACCGCCUGGGGAGUACGGCCGCAAGGUUAAAACUCAAAUGAAUUGACNGGGGCCCCGCACAAGCGGUGGAACAUGUUGGUUUAAUUCNAUGCAACGCGAAAAAACCUUACCUACACUUGACAUACNGAAAAACUUACCAAAAAUGGUUUGGUGCCUUCCGGAACUCUGAUACAGGUGCUGCAUU